GUUAGUAUCAUGCCAACCAUGGAUACCAUCUCUGUGUUUACGAGAGUCAACAUAAGCAGAACUCGGUUUUAAUUGGUAUGUUUUCUUUUUCCAGGAGCUGGAGGAGGGAAUGAUAUUCAGUGGUGUUUUUCUCAGGUGAAAGGAGCAGUAGAUGAUGAUGUAGCAGAAGCAGAUAUAAUUUCUACAGUAGAAUUUAAUCAUUCUGGAGAAUUACUAGCAACAGGAGAUAAAGGUGGUAGAGUCGUCAUCUUUCAACAAGAGCAGGAGAACAAAAUCCAGUCUCAUAGCAGAGGAGAAUAUAAUGUUUACAGCACCUUCCAGAGCCAUGAACCAGAGUUUGACUACUUGAAAAGUUUAGAAAUAGAAGAAAAGAUCAACAAAAUUAGGUGGUUACCCCAGAAAAAUGCUGCUCAGUUUUUAUUGUCUACCAAUGAUAAAACAAUAAAAUUAUGGAAAAUCAGUGAAAGGGACAAAAGACCAGAAGGGUAUAACUUGAAAGAGGAAGAUGGAAGGUAUAGAGAUCCUACUACAGUUACUACACUACGAGUGCCAGUCUUUAGGCCUAUGGAUCUAAUGGUUGAGGCCAGUCCACGAAGAAUAUUUGCCAAUGCUCAUACAUAUCACAUCAACUCAAUUUCUAUUAAUAGUGAUUAUGAAA
rnacentral:sRNA from 1 species